AAGAAUUCCAGAGGCAACCUCCCGCCCACACGCUGGGGUGGAGACGGCCUGUUCCCUAGUGCUCCUGUCACUCAUCUGUGCCGGUACCUUUGGUUUUCACCAUAGGAUCCUCGGAUUCCUCAAGGCCCUUCACCUCCAGGAAAAGCUAAGACUCUCAAGAGAGGGGGAGGCAUGUGAGGGAUGACACAGGAUUGAGGCAUGGAAACUGCUCAUGGUAAUGAAGGGAGUCCUAGGCAAGAAGGACCUCUCCAGAAAGAUGCUGCACAUUUCUGCUUUUUCUUGGCUUUCAGUUCUUAAGGCUCCCAAAGAAAACUCCACUUGCACAAUUUCUCCUUGUUCCUUCGGCCUUUCAGCAAUUACCCAGCCCAUUCCCAAAGCCUGGGACUCUGUGUCAUCUUGAAUGGUUCACACCUCCUUGUUCCUGAUCUUCUUUCCCCACCUCCUCCCAUCCUUCCUGCCCCCAGUUCCCCAGAUAGUAAUGAAAGCAAGGUCGUUGGGUCCUGGGAGCACCCACAUGUUCUUUUGGGAGGGCUGAGUGACUACUGACAGCAAGAACAGAACCUGGGGCCAGUGUCGCAGAAUUCCCAGAGCUGUGCCAGUUUAAGGGCUACCCACAGGCAUCUCUAUGCUUUGCCAUUUGCCCCUGUAAGGAGUAAGGUCGGGAGUCCUGGAGAAGUCAAGCUCAAGUCAUCUUUUGUAAUGACACUAAAGCUCACCUUGAGUUCACUUCACACAGGCCAGUCACAACCGUUUAAUUCUGUCCUCACAGCCCAUCAGCAGGCACUGUGGUGUUUCUAUCUUACGGAGGAGGACGCCAGGGCUUGCCCAACGCUAUCACCUUGCCAGAGUCGUGCUGCUGAAUGAUGGCAGAUCUGGGGUGCUGUCGUGGGUGUCUCUGUCUCCCUCCCACAUCCCGGUCUCUACCCACCAUACUCCCUGGAAGUGGAGAGCAAUCACAGAUCUGCUGGUUUCUUUCUCUGCACCUGGCAACCUCUGGAGGGCAAGGCCUGCACUUUUCCAGCUGUGACACCAGCCCAUGUGUCUCAUAUCAUUUCUCUCUUAUGUAGCAAGAAUUUCUCCCCAGAAAGGAGGCGGCAAAGAUGGGCAGGGGGUGCAAAGGUGGGGGCUCUGACAGCCAGGUUCCAGGGUGCGCUGCUGAGCAAGCCCACAACCAUGGUGAGGCAGGGAGAUUCCGUAGGACUCCGUAUCCGUGCUUUGAAGAUGGCUUUCGUGGAAAAGCCCAAGCUUUCUCAGCUGUGCAAAGGGGAACAAAGAACAGGGCUUUGGUGUUUUGUCCGGACUUGGACAGGUGUCCCGCUGAGGAAGUGGCCUGUCCCGGCCCCAGUCGGGUGGUGCUGGGAGGGUGGGGAGAGAGGCAACCAGGCUUGGAUUCGCCCUUUUCCACAAGGAGCCAUCGACCCCUUUAUCAUCCAACACAAUGGAGGUUUAUGAGAAACAUAUUCCAGGAAGCUUACCAAUUUUUCCCAUAAAUAGACCCAAGUCAAAUUGCUGAUCCUCCC
rnacentral:lncRNA from 1 species